CAGCCGUAAACAAUGUGCGUUAGGUGUGUCGGUAACCACGCGUUACUGAUGCGCCGAAGAGAAAUCGUGAAACGCACCACCUGGGAAGUACGGUCGCAAGGCUGAAACUUAAAGGAAUUGGCGGGGGAGCACCACAACAGGUGGAGCCUGCGGUUUAAUUGGAUUCAACACCGUAAACUACACCAGGGAAGGACUGUUACAUGAAAGCCGAGAUGAAGACUCUGCUAGAUUUUCAGAGAGGAGGUGCAUGGCGUCAGUGACU
rnacentral:rRNA from 1 species